rnacentral:rRNA from 1 species
UGCGUAGGCGGCCGCUUAAGUAGGGUGUGAAAUGUCCCGGCUCAACCGGGGAAUGGCGCUCUAAACUGGGUGGCUCGAGUGAGAUAGAGGUGUGCGGAACUUCCGGUGGAGCGGUGAAAUGUGUUGAUAUCGGAGGGAACACCAUUGGCGAAAGCGGCACACUGGGUCUUAACUGACGCUGAGGCACGAAAGCCAGGGGAGCAAACGG